GCUGCCUCUGCUUCAUCUUCUGUUAAUGCCAUCAAGCAGUCUCAGCCCUUGGAUUCUCGCGAAGUCAAUGAAGACAUGCUCAUGUCUCUGGCUCACCAGAAGUACAAAGCUGGAAACUAUAAGCAAGCAUUAGAGCAUAGUAAUGCCAUUUAUGAAAGAAAUCCUCGGAGCACAGAUAAUCUCCUUCUCUUGGGUGCAGUCCAUUAUCAGCUACAUGAUUUUGAUACGUGCAUUGCAAAAAAUGAAGAAGCUAUUCAAAUUGAUCCUCGCUUUGAUGAGUGUUAUG